CAUACAAUUGGAACAGAAAUCCUAAAGCUCCUGUGGAGAUGUUCUUCAUGCAGUAGCUCCUGUAUUUUUCCACCUUUCCUAAUUGCAUCCCUUGGGAGUGGAAGUGCUGGGUUGGUGCACAGUCUUCUCUUGCCCGAGUCCUAACACAGCGGGCCUCCUGGGCACCUCUUGGACUUCACAGUUCUGCCAGUAACAUCAUGUUAAACUUUCCAGACAGGAAAAACUUGGAGUCCUGGUCAGCUUCGACCCACUGGGAAGGGGAGGAUCCAGCAUGUCUUGGAGCCAUUGCAAAAGAUUCCAGGCAAGAACUGUGCAGCUUGGUGCAGCAUCCGAAAUCUGCUUUCUAUGCCACUGAAGAUGAUUCUACGGCUGUACUAUGGCAGUUCCCACGCCUCUCUGGGAACACGGACUGUGACCCGUG